AGUCACCCUCUCACCUUUUUGGGGGGAUUGUGGUGGGGUGAGGUGUGGGAUAGAAGGGGAAGGGUGGUGGCCCUCCAGCCCCCAUGACUCAGGAUCCCUCUAAGGACAACCCAGAUGUCUUUCUGGGAUUUUCAAGGACUCCUUUCUGGAUAGGACAUCCGGUCUCUGUCCUCAAUUCCUCAAGAGGAACAGAAAUCAAUUGAUUGAGAGGGAGGCACAGGGCUGGGGUGGGGACUCCUGGGCUGCUUACCUGCCAGUUUCUGAUAGAAGGGGAGGGCUGGUCUCCAAAGCACGCAGGCCACAGAUUUUGGCCUUGACUUUAGCACCAAUUCGCACUUUUCAAGGGAAUCCUUUGUUUUCCUGUCUUUGUUUAUGUGCUUCCCUCUCAGCCAUGAAAUCCUAGAAAGGAGUCAUUAUCAUAUUUUUAUCUCUGUGUACCCAUGUUUAGCCCCAGUGCCUGGCACCACCAGGGCAGCCAUUAAAUAUUUGCUAACUGGUCUGGGGAUCGAGUGCCAUCUGGUGGAGGAAGUAGGCAUGGCAGCAUUUCAGAUCCCCUGGGACAGCAGGCCCGGCCCUGGUUUGGGGAUGUCCUUGUAAGUAUGAGGUCAUGGAGCGGGGGUAGUGUCCCCAGACAAGGUGUGCUAGGGAGGGGAAGGGAAGGGAAGGGAGGCCCUUGAAAGAUGAGGAGGAAGAAGGAAGAGGCCACCACAGGAGCACAACUUUGGUAAGUGAGACCCUCUCUGCAGCCCUCUGUGCACUCCUCUGUGGACACGUAGGGUGGUCGGGAUGUAAUAAAGGCUGUGGAAAUAACAACAGCCCCAAGCCUUUAUGGAGUAUGGGUGCCAUGAAGUGGUGCAGUUUUUGGUUCCAUUUGCAGGUUCAGAAGCUGAGGCUCAGACAGUUAGUAACUCACCCAAGGUCACUCAGUCUAUCAGAGUCAGGGCUGGGAUUCAAAGCCAGGCCAUGGGACCUGGACCUGGCAAUUCCUGCGCUAGGUAUUCACUCAUUAGUUCAUUCGGAACCAACUUGUUGGGGCUGGUCCAGUAGGAGGGCACAGCCUCUGCCUUUGUUUUCAUGUGAGUCCUUCCCUUGGGGCCCUUUCUUUCUCUGGGAGUUCUGGCAAUCUAGGGACCAGAGAGAGGCUCCUCCAGUUAGAGAACUGCCAGCUGACAGCACUUCCUGCCCUCCUAAGCACUGUCCACUGUCUGAAACCUCCUUUGCCCCCCGUAACCUCCUGCCUUCCUCGUGUUUCCUCACUUCUAUCAGGACUUCACAUAUACCAGGAACUGCACUAGUAAAUGAGAACCAGAGCUCCAAACUCCAAACACGUGUGACCUCGCGCACGACGUGGGCACCCUGACAGACACCAGGAACACACAUCCUAGAUCGCCCAUCAUGAGGACACCCCCAAGAUCACGUAAAACCCCCAGCCCCUGACCAUAAUGUGCCCCUCUCUCAAGGCCCUGAACUCUGUUCUCUGUGAGUGUGGACUUCCUUAAUUCUGCAGAAUACACCUCUCCAUGCUCCCGCAGUUCUUUUCUGUGCAUAAGUCAGCAAACCCACAACCUAGCCUGUGGUGGGGAUGACUGGGGGUCCCCAUCUCCUCUUCAGUGGACCUCCUGGGACCCCAAGUGGUGACACACCUACUUGCUGGCCUCAGUGCCUCGGUCCCUUAGAAAUGGAGCCCUCUUCCAUCUGGGAAUUUAGAUCCGCCUUGGUAGCGAUCCUGACACUUUUCAGGAAGAAGGGAACCAGGUCUGAUGUGGGCGCCACUGAAGACGCAGGUCCUGAAGGAGGCCAGCAGCUGCAGGGGCAGAGGAAAUGGGAAGAAAGGCAAGCGGGGGUCUGAUGGGAGAAGGAAGGUGAUGAAGCUUUGCCUCACAUGCACAUAUUUGCAAUUUGCUUUGUAAAACUUUAGCUACCACAGCCUAUAAAAUUUACUCAGUAUAUAACUCAAUAAUUUUUAGUAAACUUAUAGAGCUGUAUCACCAUUAUUAGAACCUACUUUUAGGACUUUUCCUUAAACUUAGUUUUCUUUCUUUCUUUCUUUCUUUC
ensembl:lncRNA